rnacentral:rRNA from 1 species
UACAGAGGGGGCAAGCGUUAUUCGGAAUUAUUGGGCGUAAAGGGCGCGUAGGCGGCUUGGCAAGUGGAAGGUGAAAUCCCUCGGCUUAACCGAGGAACUGCCCUCCAAACUGCUUCGCUUGAGACCGGGAGAGGUGAGUGGAAUUCCCAGUGUAGCGGUGAAAUGCGUAGAUAUUGGGAGGAACACCAGUGGCGAAGGCGGCUCACUGGACCGGUACUGACGCUGAUGCGCGAAAGCGUGGGGAGCGAUCCGG